rnacentral:rRNA from 1 species
GACGAACGCUGGCGGCGUGCCUAAUACAUGCAAGUCGAACGAGAGCGACCGGUGCUUGCACUGGUCAAUCUAGUGGCGAACGGGUGAGUAACACGUGGGUAACCUGCCCAUCAGAGGGGGAUAACAUUCGGAAACGGAUGCUAAAACCGCAUAGGUUCUACAGUCGCAUGACUGAAGAAGGAAAAGAGGCUUCGGCUUCUGCUGAUGGAUGGACCCGCGGUGCAUUAGCUAGUUGGUGAGGUAACGGCUCACCAAGGCCGUGAUGCAUAGCCGACCUGAGAGGGUGAUCGGCCACAUUGGGACUGAGACACGGCCCAAACUCCUACGGGAGGCAGCAGUAGGGAAUCUUCCGCAAUGGACGCAAGUCUGACGGAGCAACGCUGCGUGAGUGAAGAAGGAUUUCGGUUCGUAAAACUCUGUUGUUAGAGAAGAACAGCGCAUAGAGUAACUGUUAUGCGGG